rnacentral:rRNA from 1 species
GUGUCAGCAGCCGCGGUAAUACGUAGGGACCGAGCGUUGUCCGGAUUUAUUGGGCGUAAAGAGCUCGUAGGCGGCUGUUCAAGUCGAGUGUGAAAACUCGGGGCUCAACUCCGAGCCUGCACUCGAUACUGGACGGCUAGAGUCUGGUAGGGGGAUCUGGAACUCCUGGUGUAGCGGUGGAAUGCGCAGAUAUCAGGAAGAACACCGGUGGCGAAGGCGGGAUCCUGGGCCAGUACUGACGCUGAGGAGCGAAAGCGUGGGGAGCAAACAGGAUUAGAUACCCUGGUAGUCC